rnacentral:lncRNA from 1 species
CAUGUAGUUCACCCAGCCUUGUUCAACCCCUCUGGCUGACACAAAAUGCUUUUUAUUUUUUCUUUCUCCAGGCUGCACCUGUGCUUGGCUGUCACCCUCCACACAGAAGGUGUCUCUACCACCACCCCAGCCCUGCUACGAGACAACUGCUCGUGAUAAAGGUCCUUGGUGUUUUCUGGGGGACGCCUCAUGUCGAACCAGGGCAGAGAUGGAAGAGAGUUUUGAGAUGUUUGAGGAGGAGUUAGGCAGGCCAGAGCCUCCCCCUCAGAAGCCUGUCAGACAGGCCCGCAGACCAGUUCCAGAAAUGUAUGCUCAGGAGAGAAGAAGAACCAUACAAGAACAGACCAUGCCUUCUCAACAGGAACCUCCAGUCAUGCAGCAGCAAGUUCCCAAGAUAAUGCCCAGAGAACCCAGUGUCCCCGGCAGAAGCAAAACCAUUAAAGGUCGACGGGCUGUGGAGGAAGAGGAGUAUGCUGAUGCGCUGACUGUGAGGCACUCCGCAUUGAGACACAACGUCCAACCACAGGAGCCUGAGACCUCUCUGUAUGAGGUGUUGUUCUGGUGGUUACCUGACUUUAAUGACGAAGAUGAUGAUGGGGAAACCAAACAAGGUCGAUUGAAGAAGGGGGUCAGAGAGAGGUCCCUGAAGGGCCUGAGAAGCAGGGGAACACCAGAGAGAAGACUUUUCAAAGGCAGAGAGGGGGAGGAAAAGAGGGCUAAGAGAGAGAGGGAUGAAGAAAUUAAUCAGAAGAAAAAGGGAAAACAGGUCAAGCUGAGGGGGGAGGAAAAAUAA